AGAGUUUGAUCCUGGCUCAGGAUGAACGCUGGUGGCGUGCCUAAUACAUGCAAGUCGAACGAAGAAGCAAGCUUGCUUGCUUCUUAGUGGCGAACGGGUGAGUAAUACAUAAAUAAUCUACCAUAAUGACUGGGAUAACCAAUGGAAACGCUGGCUAAUACCGGAUAGGUAAAACGAGGGCAUCUUUGUUUUAUUAAAGUAGGGCUACUACACAAUAUGAUGAGUUUAUGGCGCAUUAGCUAGUUGGUGAGGUAACGGCUCACCAAGGCGAUGAUGCGUAGCCGACCUGAGAGGGUGACCGGCCACACUGGGACUGAGACACGGCCCAGACUCCUACGGGAAGCAGCAGUAGGGAAUUUUCGGCAAUGGGCGCAAGCCUGACCGAGCAACGCCGCGUGAGUGAAGAAGGCCUUCGGGUUGUAAAGCUCUGUUGUAAGGGAAGAGCACUUUUUAGAGGAAAUGCUAGAGAGCUGACGGUACCUUACCAGAAAGCCACGGCUAACUACGUGCCAGCAGCCGCGGUAAUACGUAGGUGGCGAGCGUUAUCCGGAAUUAUUGGGCGUAAAGGGUGCGUAGGCGGUUUAUUAAGUCUGUGGUGAAAGUGCGGGGCUCAACCCCGUAUGGCCACAGAAACUGAUAGACUAGAGUACAGGAGAGGGCAGUGGAAUUCCAUGUGUAGCGGUAAAGUGCGUAGAUAUAUGGAGGAACACCGGUGGCGAAGGCGGCUGCCUGGCCUGUAACUGACGCUGAGGCACGAAAGCGUGGGGAGCAAAUAGGAUUAGAUACCCUAGUAGUCCACGCUGUAAACGAUGAUUACUAAGUGUUGGAGAAAUUCAGUGCUGCAGUUAACGCAAUAAGUAAUCCGCCUGGGGAGUAUGCACGCAAGUGUGAAACUCAAAGGAAUUGACGGGACCCCGCACAAGCGGUGGAGUAUGUGGUUUAAUUCGAAGCAACGCGAGGAACCUUACCAGGUCUUGACAUGGUGUUUAAGGCCCUAGAGAUAGGGAGAUAAUAAGCACACACAGGUGGCGCAUGGUUGUCGUCAGCUCGUGUCGUGAAAUGUUGGGUUAAGUCCCGCAACGAGCGCAACCCUUGUCUUUAGUUACCAUCAUUAAGUUGGGGACUCUAGAGAGACUGCCGGUGAUAAACCGGAGGAAGGUGGGGAUGACGUCAAAUCAUCAUGCCCCUUAUGACCUGGGCUACACACGUACUACAAUGGCGCAUACAGCGAGUUGCGAGAUGGUGACAUCAAGCGAAUCUCUUAAAAUGCGUCUCAGUUCGGAUUGGAGUCUGCAACUCGACUCCAUGGAGUCGGAAUCGCUAGUAAUCGUGGAUCAGCAUGCCGCGGUGAAUACGUUCUCGGGGUUUGCAAUCACCGCCCGUCAA
rnacentral:rRNA from 1 species